rnacentral:rRNA from 1 species
UACGUAGGGUCCGAGCGUUGUCCGGAAUUAUUGGGCGUAAAGGGCUCGUAGGCGGUUGGUCACGUCGGGAGUGAAAACCCAGGGCUCAACCCUGGGCCUGCAUUCGAUACGGGCAGACUAGAGUUCGGUAGGGGAGACUGGAAUUCCUGGUGUAGCGGUGAAAUGCGCAGAUAUCAGGAGGAACACCGAUGGCGAAGGCAGGUCUCUGGGCCACUACUGACGCUGAGAAGCGAAAGCAUGGGGAGCGAACAGG